AAGGCGACGAUCCCUAACUGGUCUGAGAGGAUGACCAGCCACACUGGAACUGAGACACGGUCCAGACUCCUACGGGAGGCAGCAGUGGGGAAUAUUGCACAAUGGGCGCAAGCCUGAUGCAGCCAUGCCGCGUGUAUGAAGAAGGCCUUCGGGUUGUAAAGUACUUUCAGCGAGGAGGAAGGCGUUGUGGUUAAUAACCGCAGCGAUUGACGUUACUCGCAGAAGAAGCACCGGCUAACUCCGUGCCAGCAGCCGCGGUAAUACAGAGGGUGCAAGCGUUAAUCGGAAUUACUGGGCGUAAAGCGCACGCAGGCGGUCUGUCAAGUCGGAUGUGAAAUCCCCGGGCUCAACCUGGGAACUGCAUCCGAAACUGGCAGGCUAGAGUCUUGUAGAGGGGGGUAGAAUUCCCGGUGUAGCGGUGAAAUGCGUAGAGAUCUGGAGGAAUACCGGUGGCGAAGGCGGCCCCCUGGACAAAGACUGACGCUCAGGUGCGAAAGCGUGGGGAGCAAACAGGAUUAGAUACCCUGGUAGUCCACGCCGUAUACGAUGUCGACUUGGAGGUUGUGCCCUUGAGGCGUGNCUUCCGGAGCUAACGCGUUAAGUCGACCGCCUGGGGAGUACGGCCGCGAGGUUAAAACUCAGAUGAAUUGACGGGGGCCCGCACAAGCGGUGGAGCAUGUGGUU
rnacentral:rRNA from 1 species